GUAACGUCAUCAACAGCAAGUGCUACUCUAACUCCUACUAUUGUAUCAAGUACUUCAUCAGUCAUUAGUGUUACAGGAUCAUCAACAAUUUCUUAUUCUACUGAGACAACUACCAUGACUACUCCAUUGACUAC